GCCUACGGGGCGCAGCAGUGGGGGAUAUUGCACAAUGGGGGGAACCCUGAUGCAGCGACGCCGCGUGGGUGAAGGAGCGUUUCGGCGCGUAAAGCCCUAUCAGCAGGGAAGAAAAAUGACGGUACCUGAGUAAGAAGCACCGGCUAAAUACGUGCCAGCAGCCGCGGUAAUACGUAUGGUGCAAGCGUUAUCCGGAUUUACUGGGUGUAAAGGGAGCGCAGGCGGUGCGGCAAGUCUGAUGUGAAAGCCCGGGGCUCAACCCCGGGACUGCAUUGGAAACUACCGAACUAGAGUGUCGGAGAGGG
rnacentral:rRNA from 1 species